UACGCAGGGGGCAAGCGUUGUCCGGAUUCAUUGGGCGUAAAGAGCUCGUAGGCGGCUUGAUAAGUCGGAUGUGAAACCUCCAGGCUCAACCUGGAGUCGCCAUCCGAUACUGUCAUAGCUAGAGUCCGGUAGGGGCCCACGGAACUCCUGGUGUAGCGGUGAAAUGCGCAGAUAUCAGGAAGAACACCAGUGGCGAAGGCGGUGGGCUGGGCCGGUACUGACGCUGAGGAGCGAAAGCGUGGGGAGCGAACAGG
rnacentral:rRNA from 1 species